rnacentral:rRNA from 1 species
GGUAGNGUAACACGUGAGUGACCUGCCUUUUAGACUGGAACAACUUACCGAAAGGUGAGCUAAUGCCGGAUGAGUUAUAUAAGUGCAUGUUUAUAUAGGAAAAGUUGGGGAGACCUGACGCUGAAAGAUGGACUCGCGUCCCAUUAGCUAGUUGGUAGGGUAAUGGCCUACCAAGGCGACGAUGGGUAGCCGGCCUGAGAGGGUGGCCGGCCACACUGGGACUGAGACACGGCCCAGACUCCUACGGAAGGCAGCAG